CGCGUGGGGAACCUGCCCUUAAGUGGGGGAUAACGUUUCUAACGAGACGCUAAUACCGCAUGACACCGGUUGUAGGCAUCUAUGACCGGUCGAAGGUGGCCUCUGUUUCAAGCUGUCGCUUGAGGAUGGCCCCGCGUCCGAUUAGCUAGAUGGUGGGGUAACGGCCUACCAUGGCGACGAUCGGUAGCCGGCCUGAGAGGGUGUCCGGCCACACUGGGACUGAGAUACGGCCCAGACUCCUACGGGAGGCAGCAGUCGAGAGGCUUCCGCAAUGGGGGAAACCCUGACGGAGCGACGCCGCGUGGGUGAGGAAGGUCUUCGGAUCGUAAAACCCUGCCAGGAGGGACGAAAACCGGAUUGGCUAAUACCCUUUCCGCUUGACGGUACCUCCAGAGGAAGCUCCGGCUAACUCCGUGCCAGCAGCCGCGGUAACACGGAGGGAGCAAACGUUGUUCGGAAUUACUGGGCGUAAAGGGCGUGUAGGCUGUUCUCUAAGUCGGGGGUGAAAUCCAGUGGCUCAACCAUUGGCCUGCCUUCGAAACUGGGGAACUUGAGGCCGUGAGAGGAAGGCGGAAUUCCUGGUGUAUCGGUGAAAUGAGUUGAUAUCAGGAGGAACACCAGUGGCGAAGGCGGCUUUCUGGCGCGGUUCUGACGCUGAGGCGCGAAAGCAUGGGGAGCAAACGGGAUUAGAUACCCCGGUAGUCCAUGCUGUAAACGAUGAGAACUAGGUGUCGGGGGUAUCGACCCCCUCGGCGCCGCAGCUAACGCAUUAAGUUCUCCGCCUGGGGAGUACGGUCGCAAGGCUGAAACUCAAAGGAAUAGACGGGGGCCCGCACAAGCGGUGGAGCAUGUGGUUUAAUUCGAUGCAACGCGAAGAACCUUACCUGGGCUUGACAUAUACUCGACUGUCGUGGAAACACGGCUUCCUCGAAAGGGGCGGGUAUACAGGUGCUGCAUGGCUGUCGUCAGCUCGUGUCGUGAGAUGUUGGGUUAAGUCCCGCAACGAGCGCAACCCUUAUCCUUAGUUGCCAGCGGAUUAUGCCGGGCACUCUAGGGAGACUGCCUGUGUUAAGCAGGAGGAAGGCGGGGAUGACGUCAAGUCAUCAUGCCCCUUACGCCCAGGGCUACACACGUGCUACAAUGGCCGGUACAAUGGGUUGCAAUGCCGUGAGGUGGAGCUAAUCCCAAAAGCUGGUCUCAGUUCGGAUUGGAGUCUGCAACUCGACUUCAU
rnacentral:rRNA from 1 species